GGGCCGUAGCUCAGUGGCAGGGCAUCUGCCUUGAAUGCAAGAGGACCCGAGGUUAAUCCCCAGUGGCAUCU